AAAGAUCCUCUUCUGGUUUCAGGGUCGGACUUAAAAACCUUGAGAUCAGGCUCCACAGAGUUCAGAUGGAAUCUCCUGUAAAGAGUGUCAGCUGAUGUCACACUUGGAUCUGAUGAGGUAGCUCUGAUUUCUGGAGCUGCAGUGAAUAAUCCUGAAUGUUACAUUCAGGAACCUGCAUGUAUAGAUAUGCAUAUCAACUUUAUUUUUUUUUCCUUUGAGGGAAUUUAAUUUUCUAAAAUGUUAUCCCUGUUACAUUUUAUUCUUUGUUCCCUUAGGACACAGUAGUGUUUAGUAGUUGUACUUGUUACUGUAUUAUUAAAGUUAUAGAAAUAUCUUUUUUACCAAACUGAUAUUGUAUCAAAAUUACAGAUAUGGAUAUAUAUCAAUGUUGGGUCUGUGUUUCCACAUGCCCCGCUAGUUUAGAGACUUAUUCCUCAUGAAGAACGCAAAACAUAAGAGAUCAUCUUCAAGAUCCAGCUCUUGAAGCCUAAAUCCUUCAAAGAGCAGCUGUCCUCAUAGCCUUUUUAUGGACAUAACAGUUACAGUUUACACAAUACAAUACAACACAGCACAACCACCUCCCACCGUAAAACCCCCCAAUGGUUCUAAGACAAGGCACUAUUAGUGUGUAUGGGUAAGCACCCAUAUGCAUGUGCAAGAAUGUGUGUGUGUGUGUGUGUGUGUGUGUGUGUGUGUGUGUGUGUGUGUGUGUGUGUGUGUGUGUCUGAGUGAGUGUGUGAGAAUGUGUGUCUCUCUUUGUGCUUGACUUCCAACUGUUUCUAACAACAUCCUUAGUCAUAAAAUGGAAAUCUCCCCCAAACCCAAUAUAUGGUUCAAUUCCUGUAUUGGUUCACCAUGCACAACACAGUGAAGCCAUACAAAGGGCAGGAAGCUUACCAAACAACAAACAGAAUCAACAAACAGAUGUGUUUACAAUAAAACCUCCCCAGCACAGAGUAGCUGGAGAGGUGGUCAGAGACAAAGGAAUGUCUUGAUCCUAUAGAUUGAACUAAGACUCUCAAUUUAAAAACCACAAUGACAACAUUCAACAAUUAGACUUCAGUCAAUUUCUUUCAUUUGAACUUUCUUAGUUUUUCCAAAAUUAACUUCUUUUUUUAAAGUAUUCAUUUUAAAGAAGUGUUAAAAGUUAAAAACAGCAGUACACAUCAAGACCAUUUUAAAGAUCACAGGUGACUACUUUUAGUUGUUUCAAAUUCUAUUAAACCUCUAUUUUUGGCUCCUCCUUUUACUUUAGUGUAUUUACUGUAUUCUUGAAGUCCACAUGUUGUUUUUUAAUGAAUUCAUUUUGAUCCACAUGUUCUGCAGCUGUUUUCUUGUUAAUUUGAAGUUUGCAUUAUGAAAAUCCUGAUAAUGUUAAAGUGUUAGUUAUAUUUCAUGAACUCUGUGUAAAGUUUGUCUUAUUAAACAGUUUGGUGUGAAAAAAUAAAGAAAUGGUCUCACAA